AUUCCUUCGGGAUGAAGAUGCUUGAGACUUAGUGGCGGACGGGUGAGUAACGCGUGGGUAACCUGCCCUGUACUGGGGGACAACAGUUAGAAAUGACUGCUAAUACCGCAUAAGCCUACAGAGUCGCAUGACUUAGUAGGAAAAAUUCCGGUGGUACAGGAUGGGCCCGCGUCUGAUUAGCUAGUUGGUGAGGUAACGGCUCACCAAGGCGACGAUCAGUAGCCGGCCUGAGGGAGUGAACGGCCACAUUGGGACUGAGACACGGCCCAAACUCC
rnacentral:rRNA from 1 species